AGCCAUGCUACAUGCGAAAAGUGUUGGACUACAUAGAAUGGACACAUAUUCAGAAGCACAGCUAUUUUCUGUCUGCUGCGUCGGACUUCUCUGCAUUUAAAUGAUCAUGUCUAUUGACGAAGCUCAACACGGACUCAGUGAGUCUCACGGUCUCUGCGAGAGCAUUCAUGUUCAGCCGUCUACCAAAAAUGUCCCAUGCAAGGCCCUCAGAGAUGUGUUGAUUCAAGCAGGUAGGCACAUACCGUUCCACUGCCGAAGCCGACUAAAAAAGAAAAGAAAAUAUCAAGCCUAGGCUACUCAUGAGCCUACUCAUGACAUAAAUGUUUUGUCCUUUGACAGAGCAGGCCCUAUUUAUGAAAACAACCAUCCUAGUUGAAAGAGAAUAGUUAGUUUACACAUGUUGAUCUUAACAAGACUAAUAUUUGAAAUGUUGCAGGUGUUUGUGUCACUGAUAUAAUUGCACUCCAUGGAAUAAGACUUUAUUGGGCCUUAAAUUGAAUGCUUUAGAACAAGAGUGGACGUAAAACACUUGCAGAACCUGACAUACUGGCCAUGUGGGGAGAAAGACUGUUCAGAGAUACCCAGCAUACUCAUCUCUGUACGAUCAGUUGAAGCUGUCUCCAAAAAGGCUCAAUCUAAAAGGUUUUGUGGCAGGAUGUAAGUAGAUGUCUCUGAGGUAAAUACCUACCAUAUUCUACCACAUCCUGGUAGAAUUCCACCAGAUGGCGCUUUUGUUCUUAUGGGGGAGGCGACUUAUGUCCACGUUCUUUAUAUGUUAACAUUUGAAACGGUCCAACAAGAUAAGUUGGAGCCUUAUACAAUUUUUAGAAUUAGCAUAGAAUUAACAUCGUUUCUUGUUUUGCACUUUUGCAUUAAAACAGUUUUGACAAUCUAAGUAAUCUUUUAUAUGAAAAAAAUCGUAUGCACUAUGAUAGGUUAGUUGACAUUUUCUUUAAUUAUUUGGUAAUAGGAUGCUGAAACAGCAAACAUAUAAAUGUUUACCGCCAUCUAGUGAUAGAGUCCACUAAUUGCAGUUGACAGCACCAUUCAUCCAUCUUUGUUCGUACAUCAAAUACACAAUUUCACGGUAGCCUGGGUAAAAAUUGAACUUCACGUCCACAGUGCUAAAAAUGCUAGUUUUUAAAAAGCAAUACAGUAUCAUUUUAUACCUGAAUGUAAUUCUAAAGGUGCAGUGUGUACUUUUUCAUUUUUGAAAACUUACAUGUGCUUUUAGACUCGCAACAAUGAUGUAGAUCUGAAGGCAUUAUAAAACCGACAAUAUUUCCCCAAUGUUCCAGUGGACUGUUCCUUCAUUACUACCGAACUUUAAAGUCUGUCAGCAUUGGGUUCAAAAGGAAAACUGUAUACCUGUAACUGAAUCAAGACUUGGGUCUCACUCUGCAACAAACCAGUAGAAACUAGUUGUUUCUUGUUUUUACCACAUCUUGAUGAAACAUUUCCAUUUGCAUUGGUCCAUGUAAUUAAUCUUUGGCAUUUGUGCACUAAUACUUGAAAACUGUCUCUAAAUGUCUUAGAUGUAUACCUUAUGGUUAAAUAGUCUUUGUACAUAAAAACUUGGCUAAUAUAGAUUUAUUCAUGAUAAAUAUGUCAUUCUCAUUGUAUACUGCAUGUACACAUUGCAUGUAAUGUAUAAAAAAAGAGUGUGUGUAAUGUUUAAUGCAUCUGAAAGUGAAAGAUAAAUCACAAGCACCACAGAAAAUGGCAUCCUAUGCAGUAGUCUAAGAACUGACUGUGGUUUAAGGCUCCUCCCCCUCGUUCAGUGUCUUUUCUCUUUCCUCCAUUUCUCUUUUUGUCAAUAGUCUCUCUCUCUCUCCCUCUCUCUAUCUCUGUCUCUCUCUCUCUCUCUCCCUCCCUCUCUGUCCCUCUCUCUUUGUUGCUUUGUACCUAUUUGUGUAUACUAUGAUACUAAAUAUUAAAUCCUAAAUAUUUCAGUAGAAA